UGAUAAGACCUAGCAACAGGUAGUUCACCAAUCUGCGUGAACUUUAAAAGGGAAGUUUGGUGAAAAUCCAACACGGUCGCGCCACUGUGAUGCAGAGCGAGGAUCAAUAACCCACUGUUCCUUGUUUGGAAUGGGAAGGGGAUCCACCGCGAUGAAGCUAAGUCAGGAGACCUGCCUGUUGUAUACACUUUCG
rnacentral:ncRNA from 2 species